CUUGGACAAGAUAAAAGCUUAAGCUGGGACCGAGAGUCAGACCAUGGUCAUCUUUGACUAUUGGCAUGCUGUUGAACAAUACAACAUUGGCAGGAGAGGUGAAGAAGUUUAGUAUUGGAAUUUUUAGGUGUGGAAUGUUAUACAUCUUCUGGAGGAUGAAACAUAUGUUUGGCAACAUUUCUGCUGUGAAGAUACCAGAGAAGUUCAUCUUUUCAUUGCACCUUUUUAGAUCUGCCAUGUUGAUUGAUUAAAAAUGGAUGUGCAGAGCAAAGCAUGGAGGAGAUUGCUUAUGAUGUUUUCAUUAUGUAGACAGAACCAUGAUGUUUUGCAAAGACCAUAUUUUAACAGAAUAAAUCCAUCGAACUUACAUUCAAACAAGAAAGUCAUCCAUUGUUAACUUAUAUGAACGAAAUGUAGAAGCAGAAUUUGGAGGUAUAUGUUUGUAAAGUCAUUUUGCAAUGAAAUGUAAAGACAGAUGAUACAAUGCUUUUUUAUAGGAUCAGGUUAAUGCUUAUUGUGCCUGAAGCUUCCCCAUUUGACAGAGAAGAACUUGGAUUUAUCAAAUGUUAAACACAUGGCUUUAAUGGUUUGUAUUAGGAGAAUUCCUGAGGGAUUUGUGCUAGUUGUGAGGUUGUAUUCACUUCACUUUAUUUCUUUCCUGUGGCUCUCCUGUUUCCCUUUGGGAUGUGUUUCAUGUGUCUGUUAUUGCUUUGAAGAGUUUUCAUUUCUAUCUCAUUCUUAACACUUGCUCUUGAUUCUUUGUAUAACUUAGGAGAAAUGAACGAUAUUUUUCUCCUAGAGUAUCAGUGUUUAUAAGGUAAAUGUGUCUGUGCUGAUUUAGAAAAGAACACAUAUUUUUCUCUCUUUUAUGCUAAGAAUAAGGUUUUAUUUUUUGGUAUUGAAAACUUUUUAGAAACUUAAUAUUUUGUGUUUUAUCUCCAGGAUUAUUCUUUACUUUGUGGAUUAAAGCAGAAGAGCAGAUAUUCUGUGAUUAUUUUGUUAAACAGCAACAUAUUCUAGAGAACUUUGAUUAAAAGGAUAACUUGAGACCCAAAAAAGUCCCUCUUUACAAGACAAUUUUAAUCUCAGCUAUCUUUACAUUUUUUGUUUUAUUAUUUAAUGAUGAUAAAUAUGAUGGUUUUACCAUGAAGAGAAAUAUAGGCAUUGCUGUUAUAAGAAGUUAUUCUAGACAGCAUUUGGGACCGAUUCAUGAAUGUUUUUCUGACAGUCAUCUCAAUAGAUCAUCUGUAUCUUUUGGUUUGUUGUGUCAGUUUAUAGAUGGCAAAAAUAGUGUAUUUUGAGCAUGACUUGAUCAGCAGUGAUAUAAGUAGUGGAGAAAAUAUAUUGGUGAAUGUGCUUACACAAUGAAUCACUGGAAAACACUCAGCCAGUAUUUCUGUGGGUGUAUCUGUUCUUUUUCUGUUUAUAUUAAACUUGAAUGAUUAAAUAGAAAGCAGGUUAAAAGAAAAAAGAAUAUUGUGGUUUCAGUACAUACAUUCAAAUGUAUACUUCUUAUUUUCUUACAUUAAAUCUUUACACUUCACCGUCUUAAUUGCUUAACCCUUUCCCAGUUGGAACCACUACCAUGUAACUUUAUGGGUAUUAGAGUUCCUGUCAUGAUCCAAGCAGCCUUCAUCCUUUAAGUAGAAGGGAAGAAGAAUACAAGUCUCAAUUUUAUCAGAAUUAUUUUAAAAUUAUAAACAUACUAUUGGGUAAAUAAAUGCUUUAAGGAGGCUUGGCUGGAGAUUUUGGCAAGUCACCAGCAUGCGGAUUAUGAUAGUGAUGAUUAUAAAAAAUAAUCCUAGGCCAAUUCCUUGAUGUCCUGCUUCUGAUUCCCUUCCAAAACAAGUACAAUGAAUUUAUAGCAAUAUAGAAUCUAUCUGGAGCAAAUUUAGGCUUCUUUCUUUGGAGGAAGAAAAUCUGUAAGACUGGUUCUUUUUAAGAUAGAGUGACCCUGGUUAGUUCUGUUAGGAUAGAGAGGAAAGUCCUGCCCUCUGUUGUUUUAAGGUGCUCUGAGUACUAUCUCCUGGCACCGCAAUUGACUGAAAUUGUUCACAGCUUCCAUUUCACUUGCAUGUGAUGUGAUACAAAGAACAAUUUAAGUUAUGUGGUGCUGAGGACUGAACCCAGUGCCUCACACAUGCUAGGCAAGAGCUCUGCUACUGAGCCACAACCCCAGCCCUCCCAUUGCCUUCUUGACUAUGUCUUACUUCACUUCCUACUCCUUUGGCUUCAGUUCAUUGAUAUACUUAAAAAUUCCAGGGACUCUUUUACUUGGAUUUUCUCUUUGCUGGUAUUGAGCUAAUAGGGAUAUGCAAUGGCUAACAAGGCCAUUAAUCAAAUAUUGCCUUCUAAUGGAGACUUUCCCUAAACAUACUUAGCAUGAUAUGAAAGUUGUAAGAUUCUAAUUUCCCUGGCAUACCUCAUCUCCUUCUUCUUUCUUUAUUUGACUCUACUUAGCAUUUGCCUUCAUCUAAAGACUCCGUUUUUCACUGAUCUUCCUCAAUCUCAGUUUCCUGAACUAAAAUGUAGAGAAUAUCAACUCUACCAAGGGCAGGGAAUUUUGAUUUUCUUUUUUAAAAAAAAAACCCUCUGUAUCUCCUGUAUUUAUAUAAUGCUUGGUACAUAGUAUGUGUUCAAUAAAUAUUCAUCAAAAUAAUAAAGUAAUAACCGCCAUAUUUUUUGUGCUUUUUCUUCAGCAAAUUGGAAAGAGAUAUAAAGUGCUAUGAAAGCAUCACCUGGCUAGGACUUGGAAUGACAUAAAGAUUUAUUAGAAAUGUGAUCAUAAGUAAAUUCCAUAAACAUGUUAAAUUUCAGUCAGAAUAAUUACAGAGCUUAAAUGAGAUAAUUUAUAUGAAAGUGCUUUCAACCAUUAAUGUUUUCCUAAUGCUAUUAGUGAUCCCCCUCUCUCUUGUGAAUAAAUUAACUUAAUCUUAUAAAUG